AUGCGGCACGGCGACCGGGAACUUUAAGUGCAGGUUACAAUCUGGCUGUCGUGAUGCCUAAAAAGCAUUGCAUAGCAAGGGCCGGGCAAGACCGGUGCCAGCCGCCGCGGUAACACCGGCGGCUCGAGUGGUAACCGUUAUUAUUGGGUCUAAAGGGUCUGUAGCCGGCCGGAUAAGUCUCUUGGGAAAUCUGGCAGCUUAACUGUCAGGCUUUCAGGAGAUACUGUCUGGCUCGAGGCCGGGAGAGGUGAGAGGUACUUCAGGGGGUAGGGGUGAAAUCUUGUAAUCCUUGAAGGACCACCAGUGGCGAAGGCGUCUCACCAGAACGGACCUGACGGCAAGGGACGAAAGCUAGGGGCACGAACCGGAUUAGAUACCCGGGUAGUCCUAGCCGUAAACGAUACUCGCUAGGUGUCGGCCACGGUGCGACCGUUGUCGGUGCCGUAGGGAAGCCGUGAAGCGAGCCACCUGGGAAGUACGGCCGCAAGGCUGAAACUUAAAGGAAUUGGCUGGGGGAGCACCACAACGGGUGGAGCUUGCGGUUUAAUUUGGAUUCAACGCCGGAAAUCUUACCGGGACCGACAGCAAUAUGAAGGCCAGGCUGAAGACUUUGCCGGAUUAGCUGAGAGGUGGUGCAUGGCCGUCGUCAGUUCGUACUGUGAAGCAUCCUGUUAAGUCAGGCAACGAGCGAGACCCACGCCCACAGUUGCCAGCGUACUCUCCGGAGUGACGGGUACACUGUGGGGACCGCCGCUGCUAAAGCGGAGGAAGGAAUGGGCAACGGUAGGUCAGUAUGCCCCGAAUAUCCCGGGCUACACGCGAGCUACAAUGGUUGGUACAAUGGGUAUCUACCCCGAAAGGGGAUGGAAAUCUCCUAAAGCCAAUCUUAGUCCGGAUGAGGCUACACUCGCCCUCAUGAAGCUGAUCCGUACACGCGCACAGACCGACGU
rnacentral:rRNA from 1 species